rnacentral:lncRNA from 1 species
GUCAGCUUCUGAGGGGAGAACACUGUCCACAAUAACAACAAGGCUGUACACAUAGGCAUGGUGGCCUUGGGGAGCGUUUGCCAGGCUGCAAAAGCCACCUCGCAGGUACGAUGAAGAACUGGCCCGGGGUGACAGGGCUGACCGGGAGCUGAGAAGUCGUCAGGGCCAGUCUCUGUGGCCCAGAGCAGGCCGAUAGAGAGAUCGGGGAGAGCUGUCCUCACCACCUGGAAGUGAGUCCCACCCAGACCUUAUCAAAACUACUCACUCCACCUGGGCCGCUGCUGAAGCCCUAUUUUGAAAUUUCCCUUUUCCAGAGCUUUUUUCCUGUCCUAAGCCCCAUAAAUAAAUGAAGGCACU